UGGGGCUGGGCCUGUAGUUGGGUGAUGAGUGCAGGUUUACCGUGCAGGAGGCCCUUGUUGUAACCCCAUGGAGCAAAUAAAAGGCAACAGUGUGAGGCAUCUGAUGCUGCAUGUGUAAUUCAGGUAGCGUUUCCACUUGUGUGUGUAGAAACUAUUAUUCUCUCAAAUGGUAUAUAUUUCGGGUUAAGUGUAAGACUUAAAAUAUGUAUUUUAAGCCAUUUUUGUUAGUGAAUUUUUAAAUACCCAUGCAACAACAACAAGAACAAGUUGAGAAAAAAAAAGGCCAUUUUGUCAGUAGAUACUUUAUUUUGAAUGUGGCCCUGUCUGGCCCUGUGAGCCACAAUUUAGACUGCUUAUGGGUUUCAGUAAAGUACUGGGGAAGGGUUUAAGUGAGUGAGAAUGUUAACAAAAGCUUGACUCUAGUGACAACUGAAUUUAAUAUAAGGAAAAGUCACUUAGUGCUAGCAAUCGUGUGUUUUCUCUUUUCACUUUGACCUAUAUUUCUUACUUCUGGCUAUUUCUUUUUAUUAAGACUUUUUAGCUGCUAGGCCAUAUAAUUAGCUAAGAUAUGUUUUCUAAUUUAAUUUAGUUAGAUUCUAAUUAAAUUUGAUUAGAAAAGUUUUCUAAUUUUAUUUCUAACUGAAAAUGCCAACAUGCUUUUAUUCUCUACUGAAGUUAAGACCAAGAAAAGGGAAUUUUAAAAAACCUAAUAGAAUAAACAAGAUUGGCAAACUUUAUCUUUAAAAUGGUCUUUAUUUUGCCAAACUUUUAGGAAACUGGAAAAGUUACUGUAAGGACAAGAUAUGCUAGCACACAGCAGUUCAUACCCGCUGCUUAGGGGGCUGAGGUGCUUGCCCACUUGAGCCUGGCGGUUAAAGGUCAAUCUGAAAUAUGGUGAGACACUGUCUCAGACAAAAACAAAGUAUUUUAAAACGCUUGUGGUGGCUUUCUUUGGUUCUUGAUAGCUAUGUUAGAUAACUUUUGAUAAACUAAAAUUAUAAAUUGUUCCCUGGGCUAAUUCUGGUCAAUAUAUUUUUUUUUAUUUCAGUAUGAAAAAUAGAGACUGCUGUGUGUCAGCUUUCUAGAGGUAGAACACUUAGCUCUUUGGUGGUUUCUGGUCUACCCUUGUAAAGCCUUUUCCUUCUGCUUGUUGUGCUAAUGCCCUUGCAACGUGCACAUUGAAAUCUUUGGAACUUUGACGACACACUGCAGAACUAGACCAGAUCUUGAUACUUGUGUCCUCUGGUUCUUUUAUAAAUAGCUUAAAGUGAAGCUCUCCCGUUAAGAUGUGUGAUUAGAACAAGCUGUGAGACAGAACUUUGCAGUCAGAAGCCUGUCACUUGACACCACAGCUUCGUGAGGCUAUCUCGUGACUUCACUAAUUAGAUAGAGCUGCUGUAUCGGUUUUCUCAUUGGAUAGAAUAACAGUUAAUCAUUUUUAGAAGCGUUUUAGAUUACUUGACAUAAAAUUUGUAUGUGCCUGAGCUCCUGGUAGGUUAGGAGCAAAGGAACUGUUAACCAGUCUCAUCCCUUUGGUGUCACUGACUUCAGACAGCUGAGAACUGGACUGGGUCAGCCCCGCUUAAACCUGAAACAGUUAGCUUUUCUUUGCAUGCCGCUUGUGCUUAAUGGAGUCAAUUAAAUGCAGAAGGUUUUAUUUGAAAGC
rnacentral:lncRNA from 1 species